AAAAUCAAGUUAACGAAAUAGAAUAUUACUGUGAAUGAAAGAUAUGUGCUUUGGAACUAAUGUGAGGGGUCUCAUCGAAUUUAUUUUUUUUAACCUUGCAUACACUUUUCACUGCGAAAGAAACCCACAGAAACAAAAGCACAUGGGCAAAUCCCAUGAUGCAAUAAAGCAGCCAAAUAACCAACGUCCAUACACCAAACAGAAAACCAGAUUGCACCUGCAGUGGUUUCAAUACACAAGAAACUACAUGACUUACUAUAAAAGUAUGCAAGACAUGCAACAUCUCAGGCCUCAUAGCCUUUUGCUUUUGUCGGAAUACAAUAAACUUACCAGUAAAAAAUACAACUAUCUAUAAGAUUGCGGAUAAACGAAAAACUCUCUAUAACAUCCACAAAAGGUGUUUAGCCAACAUAAAAAAUCAGUAUAAAGUAAUGUAGUAUAACCUGACGAGAUGGAUUGACACGGUGGGAAAAGCGAGCUUUGGUGAAUGAUGAAAUCUUAAAUUCUGGUAUUUGUGGCGAUUAAUGCUCUGAAAUUUUGGACCCAAAAUAGUUCCCAAGUAGAUCCAUGGUGAACUGGAAAAUAGAAUAAAAACAAUUUUUACAAAUUAGUUACCAGAUAUGAUUCAAAAUUAGGGAAAAAUAGACAUGAAGUAAAAAAUCCAAGAAGUAAACCUAUUGGUCAGCGAGAUUGCCAACAAUCACGAUCGCCAUUCUUUCCAAGUGAUACCAUUUUUUGUAGAAGUCAUUGCCUUGGCGAGACUGCAAGAGAACAAAGGAAGAUAUUGUUGAAGAUGUGGUGGUUGACACGUCAAAAUCUAUUGGUAAAACACCAAAAGCUGCUUUAGUUUCUGCACUUCUGAAAAUAAGAUGGAGCACGUUGUGUAAGUGCGCAUUCUAUUCAAAAGUAAAAUUGGUUUUUCCAAGAAUGUGAUCACUGUAUAUGACUAAAAGUGAAUGUGGCGUAAAAAACAAUGUAAUUUGUGCUGUUACAUGGACUGAUGCCCAAUGGUAGAGCUGGAGAGAUGUUUUUCUAGUAAAACUUGAAGCGUAGCAUUGGCAGGGCACUAUUCUCCGGGCCCGUUUGUUUGACAUGAUAUGAGCAUCCAAUUGGACUGCCUAUGUAUCCAAGGGAACCACGUCUCCAAUAUUUGCUUAACCUUUUUACGGUCCAAGUUAAAUGUCCAUUUGGUUUAUAAGUUAUAACCAAGAAAGUAUGGAAUAUACACUACCGUGUGGUGUGGUAUUAUUAAUUGACUCUCUACUACUCCUAAGGGAUUACACCAUACAUAUGAGAUUAUCAAUUGCGUCACUCUUAGUCCCAUCAAACAAAGGGACCCGGCGUGUGGAUGACAUUUUCAAAACUAUUAUUUGUUUGCCCUUACGUAACUGUAGACGCUUGCAGAUUAUUCUAAUAAUAUCUAUUCUAGUGUAGCUAUGUGCUUCCAAAUUAACAUCCUCUUAUAGAAAAGGUAUGUAGCUUCACCCAUCUUCUGCAUUUGUAUCUUUUUAUCAAUCCUGAGUUCCCUUGCUAUUGGCGGUAUUGCAGCAAGACAGUGAAGGACCUGAUUGCAAGUAUCUAUACCUACUUGCUCUAUGGACAACAGGUGAAAUCUCUAAUGAGAAGUAUGAAUUUCAUACCCAAAAAAUCCUUUACAUUCUAGUGAAUCAACUAAAUGUAAGUUGACCAAUAAUGAGAACUUGUAAGUUGUACCAUAUCCAUAUGAAUGCUCGAUAUGAUCUAGAAUAUCGUCAGUACAACAAUGAUAAUCAUUGCAAUUCGUAAACUUUGGAACUAGUGUUUUUGGAAUCAACAAGGGGAAAGAUGAAGUGUAGCCUAAAUGUGUUUCUAAUAUUUUGAGAUAUUACACUUUGAUUUCUUGUACCAACUUUACAAAUUUAUUGAUGGAAUUUCUCCCAAUAGUUAAAGGUGCAGAUACAUUUGAAUGCAAGUCUUGCAAAGUAGAACUCGACAGUGUAUCCUCUUUGUACAAAAAAACUGACGAGCAAGAUAGAGAAAUGGUCUCUGGAACCCUGCUGGUUUUUGCUGAUGAUGAAUCAAGUAGAAACCCAAUUAAUGUUCCCUGGGAAUCGAUUCGGUAUCUCACGAAAAAGACUUUAUACUGUGGAACCUCCUGGAGAAAUAUAUUGGGAAGUAGAAACGACUGUGCAUAAACUCAAAUUAAUCUGCUCAGUAUUUUGUAUACAUGUCUAAUACACAUUUAUUUUUCUCUUCUUUGGUUGGUAAACCAGGUGUAUCAACUGAGAAAAUGCACAAUGUUUUGGGGGAGCUAUUGAAGUACAGUCAUUCCAGUUCCACGACCUCCAAAAUAUUGCAGCAACUGGAGCCCACACCUGCUUGUUUCCUUCUGUUCCGUUCCUUCUCUUUAGACUAUAGAUGUUCCACAAAUCGUUCUUGCGUACUAGAUUCAGUUGGAGAAGAGAUGCUACACUUGUUCUGUCCCAGGUUAUUAAGAUAAAGGUCCCCCACACAGUGGUAACAAAUCCUUAACCUUGUUGCCUGUGUAAAGCCACAGCUUUUCAGGUUAACAACUGCUCAAUAUGCCACUGAACCUGGGCAGCUGAUUGUCUUGGUGGCCGAUUUGGCACUGGGGGAACUAUAUCUCUCUGCCGUUGCUACUCCCCCAGCAUGGUUCUACUGGCUAUUCUACUGCGAAUUAGCUGGGACUCUUUCUAUCACCAGAAAGAAGACAGUUGUAAGGGUGUUAAAGAGCUACAACGAGCUGCUUCUAAAUCUUGGAUGGCUUUCAAGGCAUCCAUGCUCACUGGUGUCCGAUCUGAACUGGCGGUCUUAUCUCCACCUCCUUGACUUGAAGAAUCAUGCUGCUCUUGAUUCCCAGUGUCCAUGUUGACUGGUGAGAUCCACAGACCACUCACCAAUGAAGGACCGUUUCAACUCGGAGUGGAAUAUUCUUCAUGAUUAAGAAUCGGUGGAGAAUGGAUUUAUCUGGGGGGUGAAGGAGAAGGCAAACAUUACGGAAUAGAAAUUUGCUAAUCUCUGAAGUCUCUCCAUGGGUGCUCUCUCACUCCAGAAAUCAGUGGUGAUAUAUAAAAGGAAUGUCUCUUAUUUAGUGGCAACCUGGGUCAGUACUCAUGCAAUUGGCGGACUCAUAAAACCUCGGAAAUGUGUCCCUUUCGAAUUGUUAGGUCGCAUGGUUCCCGAGUCUCGCGACAUCCUCGAUGAUCUCGCAAGCGCAAUUCUAACCGCCACGAUGAUAUCCUUGUUCCACAAUCAAGCCUCGUAGGGCCCCUCAAGUCCUGGCAUAUGGCUGGAGCAGACAUCCGAGUGCAUGGGUAAUAAGCAUGCCCAAUUGGCCAUUUCGGGCUGGAUCAGUCCGAAUGCUCCGGGGGGGGGCAUACUCUGCUCCGGAGGACAUACUCUUUCUCUUUGGGCCUAAGUAUAGAAAUUUGCUGCCUCUCUUGGUGAUGCUCGUAUGCACAACUCUUUUUCUUUCAAUCAACACGAAUAUUGCAUCAGAUUACUAGAUAAAACAUGAUAAGUACACAUUCGUUAACUGUUUGUAAAUAAAUAUAUCACGAGCGAAAAUAUUCAAAUGCGUAUAUACACCUCUGGUCUUUUUCAAUGUUAAUUUAUUCUUGUUAGCAGUCA